AUUGAACGCUGGCGGCAGGCCUAACACAUGCAAGUCGAGCGGAUGAAGGGAGCUUGCUCCUGGAUUCAGCGGCGGACGGGUGAGUAAUGCCUAGGAAUCUGCCUGGUAGUGGGGUAUAACGUCCGGAAACGGGCGCUAAUACCGCAUACGUCCUGAGGGAGAAAGUGGGGGAUCUUCGGACCUCACGCUCUCAGAUGAGCCUAGGUCGGAUUAGCUAGUUGGUGGGGUAAAGGCCUACCAAGGCGACGAUCCGUAGCUGGUCUGAGAGGAUGAUCAGUCACACUGGAACUGAGACACGGUCCAGACUCCUACGGGAGGCAGCAGUGGGGAAUAUUGGACAAUGGGCGAAAGCCUGAUCCAGCCAUACCGCGUGUGUGAAGAAGGUCUUCGGAUUGUAAAGCACUUUAAGUGGGGAAGAAAGGCAGUAAGUUAAUACCUUGCUGUUUUGACGGUACCAAAAGAAUAAGCACCGGCUAACUUCGUG
rnacentral:rRNA from 1 species